GACGAACGCUGGCGGCGUGCCUAAUACAUGCAAGUUGAGCGCUGAAGGAUGGUACGUGUGCUAACUGGGUGGGCAACGGACGGGUGAGUAACGCGUAGGUAGUCUUCCACUUAGCGGUGGACAACAUUGGGAGACGAAUGCUAAUACUGCAUAAAAACUUUAAACACAGGUUGUAAGUUAGAAUGAUGCAAUUGCAUCACUCAAAGAUGAUCGCGGGUUGUAUUAGCUAGUUGGUGAGGUAAAGGCUCACCCAGGCGGUGAUACAUAGCCGACCUGAGAGGGUGGUCGGCCACCUUGGGACUGGAACACCGGCCAAACUUCUAAGGGAGGGAGCAGUAGGGAAACUUUGGCAAUGGACGGAAGUCUGGCCGAGCAACGCCGCGGGAGUGGAGAAGGUUUUCGGAGCGGAAAACUCUGUUUGUAGGGAAGAAAGUUGGUGAGAGUGGAACGCUCCUCAAGUGACGGUAACUACCCAAAAAGCAACGGCUAACUACGUG
rnacentral:rRNA from 1 species